ACGGCGAGUGAAGCAGCAAUAGCUCAAAUUUGAAAUCUGGCGUCUUCGGCGUCCGAGUUGUAAUUUGUAGAGGAUGCUUCUGGGCAGCCACCGACCUAAGUUCCUUGGAACAGGACGUCAUAGAGGGUGAGAAUCCCGUAUGCGGUCGGAAAGGCACCCUACACGUAGCUCCUUCGACGAGUCGAGUUGUUUGGGAAUGCAGCUCUAAAUGGGAGGUAAAUUUCUUCUAAAGCUAAAUAUUGGCCAGAGACCGAUAGCGCACAAGUAGAGUGAUCGAAAGAUGAAAAGCACUUUGGAAAGAGAGUUAAAAAGCACGUGAAAUUGUUGAAAGGGAAGGGAUUGCAACCAGACUUGCUCGCGGUGUUCCGCCGGUCUUCUGACCGGUCUACUCGCCGCGUUGCAGGCCAGCAUCGUCUGGUGCCGCUGGAUAAGACUUGAGGAAUGUAGCUCCCUCGGGAGUGUUAUAGCCUCUUGUGAUGCAGCGAGCGCCGGGCGAGGUCCGCGCUUCGGCUAGGAUGCUGGCGUAAUGGUUGUAAUCCGCCCGU
rnacentral:rRNA from 1 species